rnacentral:lncRNA from 1 species
CCAGGGAUAUGCACAGACAGAGAAAAGACCAUGUGAAGACAUAGUGAGAAGGCCAUCUGCAAGUGAAGGGGAGAGGCCUCAGGAGAAACCACACCUGUAGACAUCUUGAUCGCAGACUUCUAGCUUUUAGAACUGUUGUUUCAGCCACCCUGUCUAUGGCAUUUUGUUAUGGCAGCCCUAGCAGACUUAAUGUGCUCAGCGAUAAAAAGAAGUGAAAUACUAUACACUGACAUGGAGGAAUCUAAAUAAUACUGUGUCGAAUGAAAGAAGCCUUAAACAAAACAGCAUGUAACUGUAUGAUUCCAUUUAUAUGCCAUUUUAGAAUAGGCAAAAUUAAUUUUUUAGAAAAAAUAUCGGAACAGUUGUUGCCUCUGAGGCAAGGAAUUUAGCAUCGUGAUUGACCCAGGUGGCAUGAAAGGAUUCUGGGGGUGAUGAUCCUGUUUUUUCAAUCCAGACUGGGCUUUGAAUUACAUAGUUGUAUUUAUUUGUCAAAAUUCAUUGAAUGGUAUAUUUGACAUUUGUACAUUUAUUGUAUAUUAACUUUACCUCAAAAGAAAAUAUACAUACUUUAAGAUAAAUAUUAAACAUUAGUCAGUGAUAUGCAUGCUGAAGUAUCUGGAGUGAGUGUACUGAUUUUGCAAACUACUCUGAAAUGUGUCAAAAGUAAAGUGAUUGAUGAAGAAUGCGCUUGAACAACACUAUGAAAUUUUGGACUUUGAAGACAUGGAAGGUGAGGGCUUGAAGAAAGAAAAAUCUUAUUGGAAACUAAAGGAAAGGGGCUCUUUGUUAUGCAGUGGUAGAAAGUUUAGCAAUACAGUUUUCUGAAAUUAUAUGGAAAAUGUGUCUAUUGGCAAGGGUAAUCUAGCUAAGGAGAUUUUCAAAUAGUGUUGAAGGUGACACCUGAUUUCUUCUUGGGUCUUACAGGAAGGCGUUGAAUUGAGAGAAGGAAGAUUAAAGAUGAAAUCAAGGGUGUGACUUAAAACCAUUCGUGAAGACCUCAGAAGAAACAAAGAUGGUGCCUCAGAAUACGAUUCAGUCACAUAGGAGCGCUUUAAAUAAAUUAAGGUUUCACAGGUUAAGAAGAAGAAAUGUACUCAAAGAGCUGUACUUAAGGAAUUAAAACUGAGGAGCCCCAACUGCACCUGGACCUGAUUUAGAUGACAAGAUUUUGGAUAUUGAGCUCACACUGCAAUGGGAUGAGACUUUGCAAUCCUUGGAGGGAAAGAGCAAGGAACAAACAAGAAGAAAAUCAAGGGGAAAGCAAGAAAAAAACGAAAGCCAAUGGAGUAUGAAGAAGACUACGUGCAAGUAAGUCCUGUAGGUAGACAUUGAUUAGAGGCAAAAGUCAGAGAGGGCAUGACUAUGGUAUGAUUAGUGGGAUAAGCUAGGGAAAAAUUAAACCCCACCUUGAGGAAAUAAAUUGAAGAGCUACGGAUGUGUUACCCUGUAGGUUUCCAGAAGAAUGAUUGAAACUAAAACUAGUAUAGGGCCUUUGAGCAAAAUAUUUAAUGGUUGGAGAAAAAAAACCAAGAUGAUUAUAUAUUAAACAUGUAUACCUUUCUGCAUGUCCCUUCCCAGGAAGAAAAAAUAAUGGACAAAAUAAAAAAGAUUAUAAUAUAAUUAUUAACUAUAUAAUAAUUAACACUUCAGUGAUUACUCUCUGAUAACCACUGUUUGAAGUGCUUAUCAAGCACAGUCUUAUUUAAUCAUCAUUACAACUCUGUGAGGAAGAAAUAAUUGUUAUCAUUUACCAAGAAGGUGACUGAGUCACAGGGAAAUUUAACUUGUCCACUUCGGUGGGCAAGUUAAGCAACACUACACUAAAUUGCUUCUCACAGUUAUCCUGAGCUGGGUCACAAACUUUGGGUAGAAUAACACUCUGGUGUAAUGAGUUUAAAGCACCUACAAUAAGAAUAAGACCCCAAAUUGUUGCAAUGAAAAAUAUAGUAACUUUGGAUUGGUAAUAGACAGUCCUUUAAAAGAUCACACAUAAGCCAGGCACUGCGGCUCAUGCCUGUAAUCCCAGCACUUUGGGAGGCCAAGGGAAAGAGGAUCACUUGAGCCCAGA